CAGCUUCGUAUAGUGACGGAUCCUUUUUCCAGUUCUUGGAGGUUGAGUAUACAAAAGACGUUCUACUUUGUCGUCUUGUAUGCGUUGGUUUUUCACACUUUGCUUUCGUUGGGUGUGAUGUGCUUCGAUCCUCUUCGUCAACAUUUUUCAGCUCAAAACUCAUUCUCCGUCUGACCAUCAAGAGCUAGUUUCCUCGGUUGAUUUCGACAAGAAGAAAUGAAGCAAUCAUUUUUAAUCAUUUUUAUCCUAAUUGGACUUGUCCCGUUUCUGUCCGAAGCUGGACCCUUGGCGUACGGAAUAUGCCAAUCUGGAUGCAAUGCGGUUGUAGUUGCAUGCUACGCCGGAGCCGGUUUUACAUUCGGCACUCUUACGGCUGGCACCGGAAUUCCUGCCGCUAUCGUGGCCUGCAAUUCUGCCCUGGGAGUGUGCAUGGCCGCAUGCAUUGCAGCCGGAUUAGCUCCGACUCCUUAAUGAGUUAGCAUUCGAGAGCUAUCAGCUUGUUUUAUGCUUUUGGUAUAAUUCAGAUAAUCGUAACGUAUAUAAUCCCAUUUCGUGUAUUCUCAUUUCUUGUAAAAUGGACAAAUAAUUGGACCUGAUACGAAUUGUUGUUCAUGUUCCGUAUUUGCCGAUUAAGUCCUUCAAACUUCAAACAUACCCCGUGUUGAAAUAAAACUGGAUAGCUACUUUCUAACUGCUGCGAAACAUUUCUUCUAAUAAUUGACAUUCAGGUAAAGAUUGAUCAAAUAUUUUUCCGUUAUGAUUUCGCCUUGGAAUUUAUGAAUUUAAAAAUGGGUGUAAGACCGGUAAGAGUAAGACGCAAGAGCGAUAUGGAAAUUUACGUUAUAUUUCGUGACGUAAUAUGGGGAAGAAAGAUACUAUUUACGAAGUCUUAUUUGGGUGAAUGUAAUUUAAUUCAUCUGUGUCUGUUUCCAUAUUUUGUUUCGAAUUUCUAACUCUGUAAUUCUGCUGCCACUGCUGUACGGAGACCUCAAUUUGUAUUCCUAGAAUUUUUCACAAAACAAAUUUCGCCGACUGUUGAGCGUCAGAUUAACGUUCAGUUUUCAUGUGUGGAAUCUCCUCAUCUGUCAAUCGGAAUAAUUUUUCAGAGGGUCUUUCAAUUUUUUUUUUCAUUCUGAAUUUGUUGGAAAUUUUAUUGAUAGAACUUAUUCCAUCAAUAUACUCAGCAAAAAGAGGGGAAUUAAAAUUGAUAUUUUGCGAUUUAAGCUAUCUUAUUUACAAAGUAUAUAGACCUUGAAAUCGUCAUUCCAAGAAAAUUCCUUGUAAAUAACUCUUUGGGCUAAUGUGGUUAUAGUGGCUUUCCGGCUUUUCCAUACAGGUAUGCAAUUUUUUUACCAGAGGGAAAAGAAGGCCAAGUGACGUCAUCAGCCGGGAUGCAGAUUUCCGUUGAGAACGAACGUGAUUCUUUCUUUUGCCUGGAGAAACGACCUCACCGGAGGCAGAAAUGGGAGGUCCUAGUGACAAAAGAGUUUGGUCGUCUUGUCGGGUUUUUCCUUUUUCCCGACUUUGUUUUUCCCCCGUUUCCUCUACGCUUUCGCAAACUUCUGAUGCCCACGCAUCUUUCAGUCAGUCGUUGGGUGUGAGCAAGUCAACACAUAUUAUUGAAAUCUAAUUGUACCCUCGUCCAAAGUGAUUUAUUUUUGAAGAUAACAGCUGAUUCUUGACGAGCGGAAAUGAAGCUAUUUUCAACGCUGUUUCUUCUAUUUGGCCUUCUCCCGUUCGUGACUGUUGCUGGCCCUCUGGCUUACGGAAUUUGCCAGUCUGGAUGCAACGCAGUUGUUGUGGCUUGCUACGCAGCAGCCGGAUUCACUUUCGGGACGGUUACUGCUGGUGCAGGAAUACCCGCAGCCUUAAUUGCUUGUAACGCAGGUCUUGGUGUUUGCAUGGCAGCUUGUAUUGCUGCCGGAUUCGCACCGACUCCUUGAUUAAUAAUUGAUUACCUUUCACGAUGUAUUGAUUUUUUUGGGUCGAUUUUACCACUCCAGUUUGUGGGUACGAAAUGAAAUAAUUUUAAAACUGUAAGUCUGUAAUAAAUAGUCUUCGUUCGUA